GAUGAACGCUAGCGGCAGGCCUAAUACAUGCAAGUCGAGGGGUAGAAGAGGCUUGCUUCUUUGAGACCGGCGCACGGGUGCGUAACGCGUGUGCAACCUACCUUCAUCUGGGGGAUAGCCCGGAGAAAUCCGGAUUAAUACCGCAUAAAAUCACAGGAUGGCAUUAUCCAAUGAUCAAACAUUUAUGGGAUGGAGAUGGGCAGACGUGUCAGUAGCUAGUUGGCGGGGUAACGGCCCACCAAGGCGACGAUGACUAGGGGAUCUGAGAGGAUGGCCCCCCACACUGGUACUGAGACACGGACCAGACUCCUACGGGAGGCAGCAGUAAGGAAUAUUGGUCAAUGGAGGCAACUCUGAACCAGCCAUGCCGCGUGCAGGAAGACUGCCCUAUGGGUUGUAAACUGCUUUUAUUCGGGAAUAAACCUUAUUACGUGUAAUAAGCUGAAUGCACCGAAGGAAUAAGGAUCGGCUAACUCCGUGCCAGCCGCCGCAGUAA
rnacentral:rRNA from 1 species